CAGCAGCCACAAGAAUACGGAGGGUGCAAGCGUUAAUCGGAAUUACUGGGCGUAAAGCGCACGCAGGCGGUCUGUCAAGUCAGAUGUGAAAUCCCCGGGCUUAACCUGGGAACUGCAUUUGAAACUGGCAGGCUAGAGUCUUGUAGAGGGGGGUAGAAUUCCAGGUGUAGCGGUGAAAUGCGUAGAGAUCUGGAGGAAUACCGCUGGCGAAGGCGGCCCCCUGGACAAAGACUGACGCUCAGGUGCGAAAGCGUGGGGAGCAAACAGGAUUAGAUACCCCAGUAGUCCCUGUCUCUUAUCC
rnacentral:rRNA from 1 species